rnacentral:rRNA from 1 species
CAUGCAGUCGAGCGGUAAGGCCUUUCGGGGUACACGAGCGGCGAACGGGUGAGUAACACGUGGGUGAUCUGCCCUGCACUUCGGGAUAAGCCUGGGAAACUGGGUCUAAUACCGGAUAUGACUUCCUAUUGCAUGGCUUGGGGUGGAAAGAUUUAUCGGUGCAGGAUGGGCCCGCGGCCUAUCAGCUUGUUGGUGGGGUAAUGGCCUACCAAGGCGACGACGGGUAGCCGACCUGAGAGGGUGACCGGCCACACUGGGACUGAGACACGGCCCAGACUCCUACGGGAGGCAGCAGUGGGGAAUAUUGCACAAUGGGCGAAAGCCUGAUGCAGCGACGCCGCGUGAGGGAUGACGGCCUUCGGGUUGUAAACCUCUUUCAGCAGGGACGAAGCGCAAGUGACGGUACCUGCAGAAGAAGCACCGGCUAACUACGUGCCAGCAGCCGGCGGU